GCCGUAGCUCAGUUGGGAGAGCUCUUGAAUGGCAUUCAAGAGUUUAGGGGUUCGAUGCCCCUCGGCUCCA
rnacentral:tRNA from 1 species